rnacentral:rRNA from 1 species
AGGUUACUGCUAUCGGUGUUCGCCUAAGCCAUGCGAGUCAUAUGUUCGUAAGAACAUGGCGUACUGCUCAGUAACACGUGGAUAACCUGCCCUUGGGUCCGGCAUAACCCCGGGAAACUGGGGAUAAUUCCGGAUAGCGCACAUAUGCUGGAAUGCUUUAUGCGUAAAAUGGAUUCGUCUGCCCAAGGAUGGGUCUGCGGCCUAUCAGGUAGUAGUGGGUGUAAUGUACCUACUAGCCUACGACGGGUACGGGUUGUGAGAGCAAGAGCCCGGAGAUGGAUUCUGAGACAUGAAUCCAGGCCCUACGGGGCGCAGUAGGCGCGAAAACUUUACAAUGCGGGAAACCGUGAUAAGGGGACACCGAGUGCCAGCAUCCUAUGCUGGCUGUCCGGGUGUGUAAAAUACACCUGUUAGCAAGGGCCGGGCAAGACCGGUGCCAGCCGCCGCGGUAACACCGGCGGCCCGAGUGGUGAUCGUGAUUAUUGGGUCUAAAGGGUCCGUAGCCGGUUUGGUCAGUCCUCCGGGAAAUCUGACAGCUUAACUGUUAGGCUUUCGGAGGAUACUGCCAGACUUGGAACCGGGAGAGGUAAGAGGUACUACAGGGGUAGGAGUGAAAUCUUGUAAUCCCUGUGGGACCACCUGUGGCGAAGGCGUCUUACCAGAACGGGUUCGACGGUGAGGGACGAAAGCUGGGGGCACGAACCGGAUUAGAUACCCGGGUAGUCCCAGCCGUAAACGAUGCUCGCUAGGUGUCAGGCAUGGCGCGACCGUGUCUGGUGCCGCAGGGAAGCCGUGAAGCGAGCCACCUGGGAAGUACGGCCGCAAGGCUGAAACUUAA